GGACAUUUUCAUGGUAGUUUCUCUUUUCCCAUUCAUUACUCACAACUGCACACACAGACUGACUAGUUAUCUGUCUCUUUCCAAAUUGUGAUCACACCUUCCCUCUUCUAGCUUUUGAAUAGAUUUGCUUGUUUUGGUGCACUCAAUCAUACAAUUAAUCAAACACUCACCCGCAUUCAUAGGUUACCCACCAAGAAACAAUUAUUAUCAUACAAAGAAAAAAUACACCCAAAAUUUUGUUUAUUAUUUUUGCAGAUAAAUAAUCAGGGAGAUAGAUAUAUAUAGUCAUAUAGGCAGGCCAUAGCUGUGUUUGGUACACUACAGAAAGUCAAUAGGCACCUGCUGCUUUGUUCUUCUUGCUUGGAUCUGAGUUCUUUUGACCAACUGCACUUGCAGGUGAGAUUUCUCUGAAUUUGUUAAAAUGGG
rnacentral:lncRNA from 1 species